UACGAAGGGGGCUAGCGUUGCUCGGAAUCACUGGGCGUAAAGCGCGCGUAGGCGGAUCUUUAAGUCAGGGGUGAAAUCCCAAGGCUCAACCUUGGAACUGCCUUUGAUACUGGGGAUCUCGAGUCCGGAAGAGGUGAGUGGAACUGCGAGUGUAGAGGUGAAAUUCGUAGAUAUUCGCAAGAACACCAGUGGCGAAGGCGGCUCACUGGCCCGGUACUGACGCUGAGGUGCGAAAGCGUGGGGAGCAAACAGG
rnacentral:rRNA from 1 species